ensembl:lincRNA Gm28166 predicted gene 28166
CCUGCUGCUGUAAUCUGGGGCUUUACCUGACCCGGUUGUCCAGUCCCUCAUCCCCAGCCUCCUGCCUGCCUCAGGGAAGCCCCAAGAGAGAGCAACAGCAGCACUCAGGGUCUGCAGUGAGGUGGAAGUCCCUGGCUGUGUCAUGCGAUGCAGACUCACGUGGUGUUUUGCUGAGGUAAGACCCAUGGAAGGACAGGUAAUAUUUGGAGAGAGUACAAGUAGGACUCAAUGGAUAGUGAUAGAAUGCUAGCACAGCUAGAUUUGUUGGUCUGGCGUCUUUGCUCAUCUUCACUUCAUUGAGAGAGGCACAGCAGAGAACUUCUCCUGGGGUCCCAGCUGGUUCUAGUAGCUUCCGCUGACUCAUGCAGUUCUGCAGAGACCUGGCUGUUUCUGCUGGAUCGCACAACCACUGUUGAUUCCUGUUCGGUAUCCUGACACUACUGAAGUGGACUCCUGGUCUCCUGGCAAAUGAAGAUGAGAACUGGCCCAAAGAACUACUUCUAAACAGGCCCACAUCCCCUCGUCCUAUUUACCAUCUUUUCUCCCCUGCCUUUGGUUGGUGGACUAGAAGGGUGGUUGAAGCAUUUAAGAACCCUUAUUAAAGUAGAUUUUGAAGACUC